rnacentral:rRNA from 1 species
UACAGAGGGUGCGAGCGUUAAUCGGAAUUACUGGGCGUAAAGCGUGCGUAGACGGCUAUCUAAGUCGGGUGUGAAAGCCCCGGGCUCAACCUGGGAAUUGCAUUCGAGACUGAAUAGCUAGGGUACGGUAGAGGGAAGUGGAAUUUCCGGUGUAGCGGUGAAUGCGUAGAUAUCGGAAGAACACCAGUGGCGAAGGCGACUCACUGGCCCGAUACUGACGCUGAGGUGCGAAAGCGUGGGGAGCAAACAGG